UUAUUUCAUUUAGAAAUAAACUUAGCUGAAAAUGUGAAUCAGCUAGAAUUCAAACUUGGGCCUCGGGUACCAACCACCAAACCCUUUGCCACUUGCCGCUUCGUUUAUUUCAUUUAGAAAUAAACUUAGCUGAAAAUGUGAAUCAACUAGAAUUCAAAUUUAGGUCUCGGAUACCAACCACCAAGCCCUUUGCCACUUGCUCUAGAGAUGGUCGGUGAAGCAGCAUAUUCUUGUGGAGAUUAGAGAGACAAGGGGAGAGGGGAAGGAAAAAAAAAAAACCGUUUUAAGUUUAUUUUUUUAAGCAUUUUUUUGGAUUUUUUUAUAAUUUUUAAGUUUAUUUUUUAUGAAAAUAAU
rnacentral:lncRNA from 1 species